rnacentral:rRNA from 1 species
GACGAACGCUGGCGGCGUGCCUAAUACAUGCAAGUUGAGCGAUGAAGAUUGGUGCUUGCACCAAUUUGAAGAGCAGCGAACGGGUGAGUAACGCGUGGGGAAUCUGCCUUUGAGCGGGGGACAACAUUUGGAAACGAAUGCUAAUACCGCAUAACAACUUUAAACAUAAGUUUUAAGUUUGAAAGAUGCAAUUGCAUCACUCAAAGAUGAUCCCGCGUUGUAUUAGCUAGUUGGUGAGGUAAAGGCUCACCAAGGCGAUGAUACAUAGCCGACCUGAGAGGAUGAUCGGCCACAUUGGGACUGAGACACGGCCCAAACUCCUACGGGAGGCAGCAGUAGGGAAUCUUCGGCAAUGGACGAAAGUCUGACCGAGCAACGCCGCGUGAGUGAAGAAGGUUUUCGGAUCGUAAAACUCUGUUGGUAGAGAAGAACGUUGGUGAGAGUGGAAAGCUCAUCAAGUGACGGUAACUACCCAGAAAGGGACGGCUAACUACGUG